UACAGAGACUGCAAGCGUUAUUCGGAUUCACUGGCGUAAAGGGUGCGCAGGCGGCCGGGUGUGUCAGAUGUGAAAUCCCGAGGCUCAACCUCGGAACUGCGUCUGAAACUACUCGACUAGAGUACUGGAGAGGGUAACGGAAUUCACGGUGUAGCAGUGAAAUGCGUAGAUAUCGUGAGGAACACCAGAGGCGAAGGCGGUUACCUGGACAGUUACUGACGCUCAGGCACGAAAGCAUGGGGAGCAAAACGG
rnacentral:rRNA from 1 species